GGCCCGUCGUCGCGUUCACAAGACGAGGUGAUAAUCUAAUCGCUCUGAGCAGCGCUACGUCUCCAGGGCAGAUCGGAGGCUACAGUGAGUCGCUAAAGUCGACAGGUGGUUAGCGUGCUAACUCUAGUAGAAGGAAAGACGUGAUAGAAACACGAGUUAACAUCGGUGUAGCUUUCCACCUCUGGAGACAGAUGUUGGCGAGAAAAAGGGAAUGAAGUUUCACACUGAACUCACAACGUUGCUUAUAGACUGAACGCCGUGCUGGUGAUCAUCAGCGAGCAGGAACAUCCAGCGACUGGUUGGAGAUGGUUCUGUCUGGGCGAGGCCUCGGCUCGGGAACAGUUUUCUGCACAGUGUCGGAGAGGACACGCGGCCUGGGAGUUACCUCUGCCUUUACACGCCUUUCCUCAGGCAGAAGUGUUUUUAUUCUUCUGCGCUGCUCGACAACUAAUUAGCUCUAAAGCAAGAAAUUUGAAUGGCGAACCAGUUUUCUUCUAUUUAAGAAAAAUA